CUCUUUUUGAUUAUAAUUUAAAGUUGGGCCUGCCCACUGAAUUUUAAAGGGCCGCAGUAUUUUGACUGUGCAAAGGUAGCAUAAUCAUUAGUUUUUUAAUUAAAAGCUUGUAUGAAUGGUUUGAUGAAAAAGUUUCUGUUUCAGUUUUAAUAUUUAGAAUUUUAUUUUUAAGUUAAAAAGCUUAAAUUUGAUUUAAAGACGAGAAGACCCUAUAGAGUUUAACUAAAAUUAAAUUUAUAAAUUUUAGAAUUUUAAGUUUGUAAUUUUAUUUAAGUUUUGUUGGGGUGACAGAAAAAUUAAUUAAACUUUUUUUUUAUUAUUACAAUGAUUAUUGAUUAAUUGAUCCAUGGAUUAUGAUUAUAAGAUUAAAUUACCUUAGGGAUAACAGCGUAAUUUUUUUUGAAAGUUCUUAUUGAAAAAAAAGAUUGCGACCUCGAUGUUGGAUUAAAAUUAAUAUUUGGUGAAGAAGCUAAAUUAUUAGGUCUGUUCGACCUUUAAAAUUUUACAUGAUCUGAGUUUAAACCGGUGUAAGCCAGGUUGGUUUCUAUCUUAAAAUAAAGUUAAUAUUUUAGUACGAAAGGACCAAAUAUUGUAUUAAUAAUAUAAAUUUAAGAAUUUUAUUUUGGCAGAAUAGUGCGAAGGAUUUAGAAUCUUUAUAUGUAUUUUAUACAAGUAAAAAUUGAUUUAAUUUUGAUUUUAAGAAAUUUUUUAAUUUUAAUUUUAGGAGUAUUAGUUGGAGUAGCUUUUUUAACUUUAUUAGAACGUAAGUUUUU
rnacentral:rRNA from 1 species